rnacentral:rRNA from 1 species
AGUGAACGCUGGCGGUAGGCCUAGCACAUGCAAGUCGAACGGCAGCACAGUAAGAGCUUGCUCUUACGGGUGGCGAGUGGCGGACGGGUGAGGAAUACAUCGGAAUCUACUUUUUCGUGGGGGAUAACGUAGGGAAACUUACGCUAAUACCGCAUACGACCUACGGGUGAAAGCAGGGGAUCUUCGGACCUUGCGCGAUUGAAUGAGCCGAUGUCGGAUUAGCUAGUUGGCGGGGUAAAGGCCCACCAAGGCGACGAUCCGUAGCUGGUCUGAGAGGAUGAUCAGCCACACUGGAACUGAGACACGGCCCAGACUCCUACGGGAGGCAGCAGUGGGGAAUAUUGGACAAUGGGCGCAAGCCUGAUCCAGCCAUACCGCGUGGGUGAAGAAGGCCUUCGGGUUGUAAAGCCCUUUUGUUGGGAAAGAAAAGCAGCAGGUUAAUACCCCGCUGUUCUGACGGUACCCAAAGAAUAAGCACCGGCUAACUUCGG